rnacentral:rRNA from 1 species
CCUACGGGAGGCAGCAGUGAGGAAUAUUGGUCAAUGGACGCAAGUCUGAACCAGCCAUGCCGCGUGCAGGAAGACGGCUCUAUGAGUUGUAAACUGCUUUUGUACGAGGGUAAACGCAGAUGCGCGUAUCUGUCUGAAAGUAUCGUACCAAUAAGGAUCGGCCAACUCCGUGCCAGCAGCCGCGGUAAUACGGAGGAUUUAAGCGUUAUCCGGAUUUAUUGGGUUUAAAGGGUGCGUAGGCGGUCGGGUAAGUGUGAGGUGAAAUCCCGAGGCUCAACUUCGGAAUUGCCUCUGAUACUGUUCGGCUGGAGAGUAGUAGCGGUAGGCGGAAUGUAUGGUGUAGCGGUGAAAUGCGUAGAGAUCA